rnacentral:misc_RNA from 1 species
ACCAGUUCGAGCAGCGACUCAUCUCUAAAUAUAAUUAGUUUUUUUUUAUACAUACCUGUCGUACAAUUACUGGGGCGUUAAUAUGCUACCGCUCUUUGGGACCAUGCCGAAUGGCGUCAGUUUGCCAAAUCACCCGAAUUUCCUCAACCAAUUGGCAGCUGCAAUUUCCACGGCGGCCUCGAGCACAUCGGUCGUGGGAAAUCCCUCUUCGCCCCCCAAACAGAUCCAGAAUAAGAUGGCAAAACAACAACAACAAACACAGGGCAGUGCGCCCAUGGAUCUGGAGAAUGAGAACGAACACUCUGCGGAUGUGAGCUCGUCGACGAUGCACAAGGAAACCAAGUUGCAGGCCACAUCCAACUCGCUCACUCUGCCCGAUUCGACGCAACUAUACCUGAAUGGCUUGGUACACACGCCACCUGGAUAUCUGUAUUUUCCGGCCACCCAAGCGGGUGGUGCUACUGCAACCGGCAAUCCCUCCUCUGCUGCAGGGGGAUCCACGCCGACAGCUUCAGCAAACAGCACCGCCAAUGCGCAAAUGCUAAUGGAUCCUACGGCCAUGAUGGCGGCGGCGAUGCAGCAAAUGCAACAGAUGCACUAUGCAGCGGCAGCAGCAGCCGGAAUGACCACAGAAACAGGAGCUGGACUAGAAGCAACUCUUAAUGCGGAUGGCGUUACACCAGCUGGCCUCAAGGAGGUGAUCAAGACCAAGAACUGCAUCCUGUUUCCACCUAAUCCAAACGCACCUCCUCCCACUAUAAGGGAGCGGCCACCAGGCUGCCGGACGGUGUUUGUGGGUGGACUGCCGGAAAACAUAACCGAAGAAGUGAUCCGGGAGAUCUUUGAAUCGUGCGGCGAGAUCACCACAUUGCGCAUGUCCAAGAAGAACUUUUGCCAUAUUCGCUACCGCCAAGAGGGUGCCAUAGAUAGGGCCAUCUACCUAUCCGGCUAUAGAUUGCGUAUAUCAGCGCUGAAUGAACCUCCCAACUUUGGACGCCUGCAUGUGGACUACGCACAGGCACGGGAUGAUCAGUAUGAUUACGAGUGUCGACAGAGACAGCAUCAGAGGGAACAGCGUCAUCGUGAGCGCAUGUCGAUGGACAGGAUGCGAUCGCAGUCGCCGCCACCAAUACCGCACUACACGGAUCACGAGGCUACGUCUGUGGCGGAGCACCUACGCACCAACGAGACUUUCGUAAAGGCCAUUCAAACGAUCACCGCGUGGCUGGAGCGGGGCGAUUGCACUAAGCGGAACGCCAAUGUCUUCUAUUCGAUGAUCCAGAGCACUCAUGCCCAUGUACGAAGACUCCAUGCGGACAAACUGCAACUGGAGGAGGAUCUGAAGAAGGCCAGAGACAGCUAUCGCAACCAAAUGGGCACCAUGUCCACGCAAUGUAAGUAUUUCGGCCUUUCAGCCGGAAGAUCAGCUUUCUUAGCUCUAGUCUAGACGGGAAACUAGGCGCCGAUCCCACUUUGAAAUCCUAUUUUUCUGUUUACGUUGCGCCCGGGUUAGCCUUUUAGCGUCUGUAUAUCUGAACAAUCUACCAGCGUACUACACAUCCAAACACCUACACCUACACUGAAAACACACCAUACCCAUCCUACACAAUAUUUAGCAAAUCUAGUCAUCGAAUUAUUAAAUGCCAAACUCCACAUAUGAAACUACCGUCUAAAAUUUGCUCGCCAAUGGUCGCUGGAGCAAGCCCAAUGAAUCCAAGCAGGAUCAGUCACUCAGAUUGAAAAAGUGUUCAAUGCCGCUAGUCACAAGAAGGUUUGGGACCAUUUCACCAAAGCCCAAA